CAUUGAGUGGCCGAAAGUAAGCAACGGAAUUUUAAACCGGACCAUGAUACACACAAAUAUCCUCAAUGA
rnacentral:tRNA from 1 species